CUAUGUUGGCCGGGCGACGGUUGUCCCGGUUUAAGCGUGCAGGUGUGUGUUCCAGGAAAAUCCGGUUCACUUUAACACUGAGGCGUGACGACGAGGCACUACGGUGCUGAAGCAACAAAUGCCCUGCUUCCAGGAAAAGCCUCUAAGCCUCAGGUAACAUCAGAUCGUACCCGAAACCGACACAGGUGGUCAGGUAGAGAAUACCAAGGCGCUUGAGAGAACCCGGGUGAAGGAACUAGGCAAAAUGGUGCCGUAACUUCGGGAGAAGGCACGCUGACACGUAGGUGAAGCGGUUUACCCGUGAAGCUGAAGUCAGUCGAAGAUACCAGCUGGCUGCAACUGUUUAUUAAAAACACAGCACUGUGCAAACACGAAAGUGGACGUAUACGGUGUGACGCCUGCCCGGUGCCGGAAGGUUAAUUGAUGGGGUCAGCGCAAGCGAAGCUCCUGAUCGAAGCCCCGGUAAACGGCGGCCGUAACUAUAACGGUCCUAAGGUAGCGAAAUUCCUUGUCGGGUAAGUUCCGACCUGCACGAAUGGCGUAAUGAUGGCCAGGCUGUCUCCACCCGGGACUCAGUGAAAUUGAACUCGCUGUGAAGAUGCAGUGUACCCGCGGCAAGACGGAAAGACCCCGUGAACCUUUACUAUAGCUUGACACUGAACACUGGUCCUUGAUGUGCAGGAUAGGUGGGAGGCUUUGAAGUGUGGACGCCAGUCUGCAUGGAGCCGUCCUUGAAAUACCACCCUUUAAUGGCUGGUGUUCUAACGUAGACCCGUGAACCGGGUUGCGGACAGUGUCUGGUGGGUAGUUUGACUGGGGCGGUCUCCUCCUAAAGCGUAACGGAGGAGCACGAAGGUUGGCUAAUCCUGGUCGGACAUCAGGAGGUUAGUGCAAUGGCAUAAGCCAGCUUGACUGCGAGCGUGACGGCGCGAGCAGGUGCGAAAGCAGGUCAUAGUGAUCCGGUGGUUCUGAAUGGAAGGGCCAUCGCUCAACGGAUAAAAGGUACUCCGGGGAUAACAGGCUGAUACCGCCCAAGAGUUCAUAUCGACGGCGGUGUUUGGCACCUCGAUGUCGGCUCAUCACAUCCUGGGGCUGAAGUAGGUCCCAAGGGUAUGGCUGUUCGCCAUUUAAAGUGGUACGCGAGCUGGGUUUAGAACGUCGUGAGACAGUUCGGUCCCUAUCUGCCGUGGGCGCUGGAGAACUGAGGGGGGCUGCUCCUAGUACGAGAGGACCGGAGUGGACGCAUCACUGGUGUUCGGGUUGUCAUGCCAAUGGCACUGCCCGGUAGCUAAAUGCGGAAGAGAUAAGUGCUGAAAGCAUCUAAGCACGAAACUUGCCCCGAGAUGAGUUCUCCCUGAGACUACAAGUCUCCUGAAGGAACGUUGAAGACGACGACGUUGAUAGGCCGGGUGUGUAAGCGCAGCGAUGCGUUGAGCUAACCGGUACUAAUGAACCGUGAGGCUUAACC
rnacentral:rRNA from 1 species